AGAAAUCUGAAUCUCAUUCAUACCUUUCUCUUGAACCAUAAAAUCAUCCCUUGUUGUGAACUGUUGGGAGUUAAGUGACAUGUUCUCAAUCAAGGAUUUGGCAACAACAGGAUAUUCAAUACACAAAGCAUUAUAAUCAACAUCAGGGGCAACAAGUUCUCUCAGGGUUAUUUGGUCAGCCAUGUUAAACUCAAUAGAAAAGAAAAAAAAUCAACAAACAAUGAGAAAACACGACUAAUUCAGCAAUGCAGCAACAAAUAGAAAAAUACUGACAAUGUCCAUAUUAAGUAAAAAACAAUUGAAAUACGAAAAAAACGAUUAAAAUAAAAUACAAAAAAA
rnacentral:lncRNA from 1 species